UACGAAGGGGGCUAGCGUUGCUCGGAAUCACUGGGCGUAAAGCGCACGUAGACGGCUUUCUAAGUCAGGGGUGAAAUCCUGGAGCUCAACUCCAGAACUGCCUUUGAUACUGGAGAGCUUGAGUCCGGAAGAGGUGAGUGGAACUCCGAGUGUAGAGGUGAAAUUCGUAGAUAUUCGGAAGAACACCAGUGGCGAAGGCGGCUCACUGGUCCGGUACUGACGCUGAGGUGCGAAAGCGUGGGGAGCAAACAGG
rnacentral:rRNA from 1 species